AUGGCGAUCCCCGUGGCUCCAAUGGCUCUCUCAGCGGACGACGACGACAACGGCGGGCAGUUCACCACGCAUCACGUAGUGGACACCCAUGUGAGGGGGAAGGCCCUCUCGGUGGUGUACACGAACGAUCCGGUGUCGUUGGAGAGCUCCAUCCAAACUAUGGAGCAGUUCCUUGCCGAGGACAAGUACCAAGUGGUCGGCUUCAACGUCGAGUACACCAUUGGUCGUGUCGGGCACGAUCAGAAGGUUGUCAUCGCCCAGUUGUGCGUGCGACAUGAUGUCCUCGUCUACCACUACCACCUGGCCACAAGGCCUUGCGAGCGUUUCUCCAGUUUUAUCAACAGCUCCGACUACAAGAACACUGCGGUGGACACCACCAACGAUCUAAAAACUCUCAAGGUUUCAGGCUUGAAAUGCCUGAAUCUUGUCAACAUCCAGGACCACUACAAGGUCUGGGGCAGUGCCAAGAACAAAUUGAACUCCCUGGGUGACCUCGCCUCGGCCAUCAUCGACCCCUACUACAUGAAGAUGAAGGAUGAGAGCAACAAGGACAAGGACACCUGGCACCGUGUUUGGCAUGAGAGACUGGAUGAAGAACAUGUCAAGUACACGACCAAUGACACAUACACAAGCUACAAGAUGUACAGGUGGAUCGUUGACAUGAGGAAGUGUCUUGUUCACGACUGA
rnacentral:rRNA from 1 species